CCCAUGAGUACCUUUAAGCAGGGCCGGUGCAAGGAUUUUUGCCGCCCUAGGCAAAAGUAAAGUUUGCCGCCCCCCCAUGUGACAUCACAAUGCCCCACCCAUAUGAUCUGCCAUGUUAACUAACGCCAGUGCUGCAGUGCCGUCGUGUUUACAUUAAAAGGCCUGCAGGGACAGGCUAUGGACACCAGAACCACUACAUUAAGCUGAAGUGGUUCUGGGGACUGGAGAUUAGUGCCACGAAUAAUAUACUAGAUUGCCUACUUACAACCAGAUGAGGAUGAUGAUGGGCUCUAGCUGCCGUCUGGCUCCACUGGUCCGGUGUAGAACAGGCUCACUGGAGGCUGUUUGUAACUGUGGUCACAAAAAUCAAUGUUCUGGGAGAAUGGGAAGCAGCUCCAUUUUUUUUAAGGCCCUUUACACAGCUCAAGGUCUGGGUCCCUGGGUCCACUUUCAUGUUCCACCAAUGAGUUUGUUCACAGGGGGUGGAGUAGGGGGAUGUCCGGAUAUGUGUGUAAGGAAUGCAUUGUGUGAAUCUGUGUUUGUACGUGUAAG